UACGAAGGGGGCUAGCGUUGCUCGGAAUUACUGGGCGUAAAGCGCGUGUAGGCGGCUAAGUAAGUCGGGCGUGAAAUCCCACGGCUCAACCGUGGAAGUGCACUCGAAACUGCAUAGCUAGAGUCCUGGAGAGGAAGGUGGAAUGCUUGGUGUAGAGGUGAAAUUCGUAGAUAUCAAGCGGAACACCGGUGGCGAAGGCGGCCUUCUGGACAGUGACUGACGCUGAGACGCGAAAGCGUGGGAGCAAACAGG
rnacentral:rRNA from 1 species